UCCUCCCUCUGGCUUCGUGCCUAAUACAUGCAAGUUGAGCGAUGAAGAUUGGUGCUUGCACCAAUUUGAAGAGCAGCGAACGGGUGAGUAACGCGUGGGGAAUCUGCCUUUGAGCGGGGGACAACAUUUGGAAACGAAUGCUAAUACCGCAUAACAACUUUAAACAUAAGUUUUAAGUUUGAAAGAUGCAAUUGCAUCACUCAAAGAUGAUCCCGCGUUGUAUUAGCUAGUUGGUGAGGUAAAGGCUCACCAAGGCGAUGAUACAUAGCCGACCUGAGAGGGUGAUCGGCCACAUUGGGACUGAGACACGGCCCAAACUCCUACGGGAGGCAGCAGUAGGGAAUCUUCGGCAAUGGACGAAAGUCUGACCGAGCAACGCCGCGUGAGUGAAGAAGGUUUUCGGAUCGUAAAACUCUGUUGGUAGAGAAGAACGUUGGUGAGAGUGGAAAGCUCAUCAAGUGACGGUAACUACCCAGAAAGGGACGGCUAACUACGUG
rnacentral:rRNA from 1 species